UACAUGGGGUGCAAACGUUGCUCGGAAUUAUUGGGCGUAAAGCGCGCGUAGGCGGUUACUUAAGUCGGAUGUGAAAGCCCUCGGCUUAACUGAGGAAGUGCACCCGAAACUGAGUAGCUGGAGUACGAAAGAGGGUCGCGGAAUUCCCGGUGUAGAGGUGAAAUUCGUAGAUAUCUGGAGGAAUACCGGUGGCGAAGGCGGCAUCCUGGACUGGCAUUGACGCUGAACAGCGAAAGCUAGGGGAGCAAACGGG
rnacentral:rRNA from 1 species